GCUAAGAUAAACCUAACAUUAUGAUGUCAACAUAGAAAUACAGAAGAAAAUAGAAGAACGUACAUCCUCCAACGAAAGCUCCCAAUAUUCCUUCAACUCCAUGGUUCUCGAUAAUUGAGAAAGUUCCUCCAUAAACUUGUGAGUUAGUUUCCUGUGCAGCCUCCUUUUAACGCAUUGACGAAGAAUCUGAAAACCUGAAGCAUUCCGGGACUGUGAUUCCUUAGUUUCACAAGAUGGGCAAUACCACUCCCCAUCAGGAACUUUAAUAAGUGGAGGAUCUAAGCAAUAUGUAUGGUACUCCGAAUCACAACCAUCACAAAGAAGAACAUUGACAUCAUCUUUAUCCAUGCCACAUACUUUGCAGAGUCCUUCCUCCCAAGGAACUUUAGGAAGUAAGCUCUCAUUCACAUGAACGAUUCCCAAGGAGCUUUAGGAAGUAAGCUCUCAUUCACAUGAGCGAGGAGUUCAUCUCUCGCUUUUGCAUCUUCACUGCUUAAACUACCGUCAUUUGAACACUCAAUUUUCUCGAUUAAAGGAAGAACCUGGGGAGAAAUGAGCAAGCCAAAACUUAGUUAAACAACAAGAAUGACAACACGACUACUAGUAUAACCAAAGAAGUUGAAUCACACACUCAAUGGAGCAAGGCUCAACUGCU
rnacentral:lncRNA from 1 species